AAUGGGUUAGCUUAAUUUAAAGCGUUAGACUUUUAAUCUAAAGAUUUUCCCCGUUA
rnacentral:tRNA from 1 species